rnacentral:rRNA from 1 species
UACGAGGGGUGCUAGCGUUAUUCGGAAUAACUGGGCGUAAAGGGUGCGUAGACGGCAUAUUAAGCUCGUUGUUAAAUUCCCCGGCCUAACUGGGGACCCGCAAUGAGAACUGGUGUGCUAGAGGGUGAGAGAGAGAAGUGGAAUUUCCGGAGUAGCGGUAAAAUGCGUAGAUCUCGGAAGGAACACCAAUGGCGAAGGCAGCUUCUUGGCUCAUACCUGACGUUGAGGCACGAAAGCGUGGGGAGCAAACAGG